rnacentral:misc_RNA from 1 species
GAUGAAGAACGCAGCGAAAUGCGAUAAGUAGUGUGAAUUGCAGAAUUCAGUGAAUCAUCGAAUCUUUGAACGCACAUUGCGCCCUUUGGUAUUCCUUAGGGCAUGCCUGUUCGAGCGUCAUUUAACACCUUCAAGCUCCGCUUGGUGUUGGGCGUCUGUCUGCUCACGCGGACUCGCCUCAAAAUCAUUGGCGGCCGGUACAUUGGCUUCGAGCGCAGCAGAAACGCGAACUCGAGGACGGUGGAUCAGCUCCCAGAAGCAAACCCCCCAAUUUUGACCUCGGAUCAGGUAGGGAUACCCGCUGAACUUAAGCAUAUAAAUAAGCGGAGGA